UACGUAGGGUGCGAGCGUUUGUCCGGAAUUAUUGGGCGUAAAGAGCUCGUAGGCGGUCUGUCGCGUCGGUCGUGAAAUCUCCGGGCUUAACUCGGACGGUCAAGUGAUACUGUCGCGCUAGAGUGCGGAAGGGGCAAUCAGAAUUCUUGGUGUAGCGGUGAAAUGCGUAGAUAUCAAGAGGAACACCUGCGGCGAAGGCGGGUUGCUGGGCUGACACUGACGCUGAGGCGCGAAAGCUAGGGGAGCGAACGGG
rnacentral:rRNA from 1 species